UAGGGAAUCUUCCGCAAUGGACGAAAGUCUGACGGAGCAACGCCGCGUGAGUGAAGAAGGAUUUCGGUUCGUAAAACUCUGUUGUUAGGGAAGAAAAAAUGUAUAGUAACUAUAUACAAAAGAGACGGUACCUAACCAGAAAGCCACGGCUAACUACGUGCCAGCAGCCGCGGUAAUACGUAGGUGGCGAGCGUUGUCCGGAAUUAUUGGGCGUAAAGCGCGCGCAGGUGGUUUAGAAAGUCUGAUGUGAAAGCCCACGGCUCAACCGUGGAGGGUCAUUGGAAACUAAUAAACUUGAGUGCAGGAGAGAAAAGUGGAAUUCCUAGUGUAGCGGUGAAAUGCGUAGAGAUUAGGAGGAACACCGGUGGCGAAAGCGGCUUUUUGGCCUGCAACUGACACUGAGGCGCGAAAGCGUGGGGAGCAAACAGG
rnacentral:rRNA from 1 species